UACAGAGGGUGCGAGCGUUGUUCGGAAUUACUGGGCGUAAAGCGUGCGCAGGCGGUUGUGCAAGACAGAUGUGAAAUCCCCGGGCUCAACCUGGGAAUUGCAUUUGUGACUGCACGGCUAGAGUGUGUCAGAGGGGGGUAGAAUUCCACGUGUAGCAGUGAAAUGCGUAGAGAUGUGGAGGAAUACCGAUGGCGAAGGCAGCCCCCUGGGAUAACACUGACGCUCAUGCACGAAAGCGUGGGGAGCAAACAGG
rnacentral:rRNA from 1 species